GGGGCUGGUGUCGCGCUUCACCUUUAUGGCGGCGCGCGCUUACCAGGAAGACUCUUCAGACUCGCGGCGGUAAGGUGGGUGGAAGAAAGAAGUGAAAGCGAGAGGGGCAAGGUCAUACAAAUUGUAAACUGGAACAAGCGGACUCGUUUUCAUAGUUAGCAGCUUAUAAAAACCCUAAUCCGUAAUUGUUUUUUUUUUUUUGCAAUAUGAUUGCUCGUUUACCCCAGAAAAGUAGGUAGGGGACGCCAUAAAGAUUGAAAAACGGUAAUCAUACGCCUCAGAGCGAGUAAAUCUGUUUUGUUGAAAAACGCCUGACUACUUGGAUACUAAACCAGGAAAAAAUCCACGAGAAGAAGAAAAAAGGGAACUCGAGGCCAGUGCAUAGAGCAAAACAAGAAGUUAAACUCCAACUGGUUUAUCAUGCCAAAACAGUAUUCUCUUAAAGUUACAAAAAGAAUGUCACCACACCCUGGCAGUUUAGAAGCCCAUCGCCAGUGAACCCUGGACAGCUGACCCGCCCAACCCUGGGACUUUGAAUCGUAGCCAUUCAUAAUCGUACACCUUCAAAACUUUUGAUGGCUCCAAAAGCAUCUGGAGAGGAUAACAUCUGGGGAGAAGAGAGUACCUCAGCUAACAGAAACAAAGAGAGUGUCCCAGCUGCUAUAGCAAUAUUUGCUCUGCCAUUAUUCAAUGGAGUUACAAUCAUUCAAUUUUGUUUGACUUGGGCUGUAUGCAGAAAAAAAAAAGUUCAGUACAAGCAACGUGCAACAUUAAAUAUUUGUUUCAUAAUUUAUUGUGAUUUUGGGGUGACACUAUAAGUGAAACAACCUUUCAAAGUGCAACUCUGAGCACUGAACCUGGCUUAUUUGUGGUAAAGGGCAUCGCUGCACCCAGGAGCUGAAUGUUUGAGUAGGAGGGACUACAGUGUCAAGUAGGAGUGACUUCAUCCAUACACAAUAUUACAGCGGCAUGAAAUGAUGUUCCCUGAGACGUAGGUGCAACAUAUAUACAAUCAGAUACACAUACAGUAUAACAUAAAAAACAGGAUAAGUGCAGGACAAGUAAGAAACUGUACUAUUCUAAAGCUAUAUACCAUACUCUACUAUACUUAUUGAUUAAAUAAAUAAUGAAUAGGUUGAAUAAUUUGACAUAAUUAUAGAUUAAUGAUAAGAACAACUGAGAAUAAGACACAAUAGUAACAGAUGUACGAGUAUGGUAUAUCAUUCGGAUCAACUACUAGCGUAUAAGCAAAUCUAAGGGGAGGUGGACAGCACAGAAUUCAGAUUCCAGAAAGCCAAGGGGUAGAAGCUGUUACAAAACUUGGUACAAGUGGUUUGAAUGUUAUGAUACCUUCUCCCAGAUGAAAACAGGACAAAGACGCUGUGGGAAGGAUGGAGGCAAUCCUUCACAAUACCGUAGGCUUUGCAAGUACAAAGCUUGAUGAAAACGACUUAAUUGGAUUGUAGAGAAGUCCCAGUGAUCUUUUCUGCUGUGUGCACUGUCUAUUGUAGGACAUUGCAAUCAGAGACAGUGCAGUUUCCAUACCAAAGAGAAGGAAUUUAUGUAAAUCUGCUUUAACAAGAUAGGAUUGAGAGGUGCAAGUUAUUGCAAACCUUAUCUACUAGGCCUAACUUUAUUGUCCAAUUUUAAUUGGAAGUAUCCAAGCUGGCCUUUGUAAAAUUCAGUCGGGGUGGGGGUGUUAUUGGGAUUACAGAUCUUGGUGUGGAUCUUAGGCUGGCUGUUCUUGGUCUAGGUCUGUGUUUUUGGAACACGGCUUAACUCUUCUUGCAGUGUAUCCUGUAAAUUCUGUUUAAAUUGUAUAUUUUCUCAAUUAUAUACAGCAUAUAAGCUGUGAAAACUAUUCAUGACAAACCUUUAUUUUGAAAACUUCAUUCCAUCUGUCAAGUGUGUCCACUCCCACUUGACAUUCAGCUCCUGGCUGCACAGAUACAUACUGUACUUAAAUUUGUGAAGCCAGCGCCCCCUGCUGGUCACAGUAUGUAAUAUUGGAUUUUUCUUUAGCAAUUAACUGACAUUUGAGGCACACAUUUAAAAACAUUAACAUUUACUUCUGUCACCUUCACAAUUUUGCCAGACUAAGGCCAUUUAUCUCACAGCCUUCUAGAUGAAUUAACUGUAAUUCACGUGUUUUCAGAAAGAAAAAAAAAAAACAUCAUUUAAGGAGGUGCCACUCAUGUUCUUCCUCAAACCUGCUUGUGUCAUCACAUCACAACAACACUAACAUCAAACUUCCAUAAAGCAGUCCAUGAUGACACCCUUCACAAUGACUGUGACUUAGCUUCUCCUUUUUUAUUUACAGUAGAUUGUAUGCUGUAUUGUUACUAUUCUGAUUUGUUGUAAGCUUAAUUCUGUUGUAAAUUAUUUUGUCAUCUGCUGUUGAUCUUUACACUAUUUUAUAUUUUUGUUGUGGGUUUGAGAGGAGUGCAUUAUAAAUAAAAAUAAUCAUCAUCAUUAA